rnacentral:rRNA from 1 species
GGGUCAGUAGGUUGGUCGUGCCACCGGUACGUACUGGUCUCACUGAUUCCUCCUUCCUGAAGAACCGUAAUGCCAUUAAUUUGGUGUUGCGGGGAAACAGGACUGCUACUUUGAAAAAAUUAGAGUGUUUAAAGCAAGCUAACGCUUGAAUACAUUAGCAUGGAAUAAUGAAUUAGGACGAUCGAUCCUAUUUUGUUGGUUUCUAGGAUUGACGUA